ACAAUGGGCUUGAUUCAAAGCCCACUGACUUCAGUGGGAGCCUUUCCAUUGACUUCAGUGAGCUUUGGAUCAGACCCAGU
rnacentral:pre_miRNA from 1 species